AGUGAACGCUGGCGGUAGGCCUAACACAUGCAAGUCGAACGGCAGCACAGUAAGAGCUUGCUCUUACGGGUGGCGAGUGGCGGACGGUUGAGGAAUACAUCGGAAUCUACUUUUUCGUGGGGGAUAACGUAGGGAAACUUACGCUAAUACCGCAUACGACCUACGGGUGAAAGCAGGGGAUCUUCGGACCUUGCGCGAUUGAAUGAGCCGAUGUCGGAUUAGCUAGUUGGCGGGGUAAAGGCCCACCAAGGCGACGAUCCGUAGCUGGUCUGAGAGGCUGAUCAGCCACACUGGAACUGGGACACGGUCCAGAAUCCUACGAGAGGCAGCAGUGGGGAAUAUUGGACAAUGGGCGCAAGCCUGAUCCAGCCAUACCGCGUGGGUGAAGAAGGCCUUCGGGUUGUAAAGCCCUUUUGUUGGGAAAGAAAAGCAGCAGGUUAAUACCCCGCUGUUCUGACGGUACCCAAAGAAUAAGCACCGGCUAACUUCGUG
rnacentral:rRNA from 1 species